rnacentral:rRNA from 1 species
AACGAACGCUGGCGGCGUGGAUAAGACAUGCAAGUCGAACGGGACAGACCGAGUAGCAAUAUUUGGAAUGUUCAGUGGCGAACGGGUGCGUAACACGUGGAUAACAUUCCGGAAAGCGGGGAAUAGCCCAGGGAAACUUGGAUUAAUACCGCAUGUGGCCGCAAGGCGAAAGACGGGGACCGCAAGGCCUGUCACUUUCCGAUUGGUCCGCGGCCUAUCAGCUAGGUGGCGGGGUAAUGGCCCACCAAGGCUACGACGGGUAGCUGGUCUUAGAGGACGACCAGCCACACUGGAACUGAGACACGGUCCAGACACCUACGGGUGGCAGCAGUCGAGAAUCUUUCACAAUGGGGGCAACCCUGAUGGAGCGACGCCGCGUGGAGGAUAAGGUCUUCGGAUUGUAAACUCCUGUCAUGCGAGAACAAGGUACUCAGGCUAAUAACCUGAUUGUUUGAUGGUACCGCAAGAGGAAGAGACGGCUAACUCUGUGCCAGCCGCCGCCGUAAGAC